AGAUAAACCACACUUCCUGAGAGGUUGCAAGCACACAUAUGCAGACUUCCCUGGUAACAGACACACAGGUUGCUGUCAUGCAGGAUGAAAGUCUGAGAACAUUUGAGAUGUUACUCCAUUCGCUUCAAUAGACCCAUGCCUCAUUCACACUGCUGUACACUAGAUGAGAAUCAGACCCAUUGAUCCAUCAUCAAGUAAAAGCUGGAUGGCCUCAGGAAAUCAAACCAGGCACCGGAUUGAAGCCAAAUGCCACCUGAUCUGCACAGAUGUGCCAUGCCGUAUGUCAUUACGGCACUGACAAGAGAGUUCGCACAUUGCGUAUAAAUGUUCCAGUGUGACUGAGGACAAUUAUUUUUAAAUACAAAGUACUGGCGAUUGUUUGCAAACAGACAUUACAAAUCUACAGAAAGGCAGAGGUAACAUUAACAGUUUCUUCCAGUUCUGGAGUGUCCUAGCACAUCAGCUUUGCCUUGAAUUUCUCUGGGUCCCAGGUAUACAUUCUCUACUUCUUGUCUGUUAGGGACUUGCCCUGAGCUUGUAAAGUGCCCAGUACAAUGGGAACCUGAUCUCAGCAGAAGGCUCUACAAGCUACCAUAAUAGAGGAACAAGGAACAGAGUGGUCAUCAGGUCCUCUUUGCAAUGACUAGAAAGCCAGAGAACUUAGCAUUCUUGGCUGUCGCAAACAGACCCAUUGACAAUUUGCCCCAAGGUUUGUAGACUUGAUGUAACUUCUCCAUUCACCUCCCAUUCCUCUGGGAGCGCCUUUUGACUCAGGCUGUCUGUUUAAGGAUUGAGCAUGCCAGCCAGGGGAGUCCUGAGCGAUAGUAAGUAGUCUUCUGACCAGUCCAUCAUCAUCAUGGCUUCUCAUGCUAGCUUCUUGCUCCUGGCAUCAUCCUGCUUGUGUGUUUAUGACACCACCGUAUUGCCUGAAUGGCCCAACACUGCUUGAGGACCAUGACACCUUCCACCGCUUGCACACUUGGAUGUGCAAGUCCACCAGGGAAUCAGUCCAGGAGACCAAACGAGUUCCCAACCACCACAGACUUGCAGAGGAGGGAGUGCUGGACUGUAAGAGUAAACACGAUCUCAGACCUCAGACCCGUAUACCUCUUUUGUGUCUUCUCUGGCUAAAGAUAGUACUUUCCCUUCAUUUUCUAGAACUCUCUAGCUCAUUCAUGAGAUGGAGGAGGCACUCUCCCUUUCAAAGAGUAAUGAGGGAAUACUAAAGCCAUAGCAAAACAGGGGGCUUUCAGACCCCUACUCCCAACAGUGCCUUGCUUCAGGUUUUGGCCUGGAUGGAUGCUUCCCAUGUUGGCCAGUCUAUCUACCUGGGCCCUAGCCAGAUGUGGUGAAGCCAACUGGUGAACUAGAGCAUGGGUCACCUCCCAUCUAGACUCCUUAAACAUGCAUUUGAGAAGGUCCACCAAGGGCACUAUUGCUUGGAGAAAAGCAGGGAUACUUGAUCUCCUUAUCUGCCUUCAG